rnacentral:rRNA from 1 species
UACGUAGGGUGCGAGCGUUGUCCGGAAUUAUUGGGCGUAAAGGGCUCGUAGGCGGUUUGUCGCGUCGGGAGUGAAAACCAUGAGCUUAACUCAUGGCUUGCUUUCGAUACGGGCAGACUAGAGGCAUGCAGGGGAGAACGGAAUUCCUGGUGUAGCGGUGAAAUGACGCAGAUAUCAGGAGGAACACCGGUGGCGAAGGCGGAUCUCUGGGCCAUUACUGACGCUGAGGAGCGAAAGCGUGGGGAGCGAACAGG